UAGCGUAGCACCUAAAGUAUUUCUUAGUGUGUACUUAUAACUUAGGAAGGCGAGGCACGGAAGCCGAGCCAGCCUGAGCUGAGGCAGGAUGCCGAAUCGAUGGCGUUUCCGCAACUACUGUAUAAACUCGCAGUACACACAUAGAAGUACUUAGGUGUGCAGCGU
rfam:Anaerosporobacter mobilis DSM 15930 genome assembly, contig: EJ17DRAFT_scaffold00013.13